rnacentral:rRNA from 1 species
CUGCGGAUCCGCGGCCGCAGAGUUUGAUCCUGGCUCAGAUUGAACGCUGGCGGCAUGCCUAACACAUGCAAGUCGAACGAGGUUGGCUUCGGCCAACCUAGUGGCGGACGGGUGAGUAAUACGUGGGAAUCUGCCUCGUAGUGGGGGAUAACGUAGGGAAACUUACGCUAAUACCGCAUACGCUCUACGGAGGAAAGGGGGGGAUCUUCGGACCUCUCGCUAUGAGAUGAGCCCACGUCUGAUUAGCUAGUUGGUGGGGUAAAGGCCUACCAAGGCGACGAUCAGUAGCCGGCCUGAGAGGGUGGACGGCCACACUGGGACUGAGACACGGCCCAGACUCCUACGGGAGGCAGCAGUGAGGAAUAUUGGACAAUGGGCGAAAGCCUGAUCCAGCAAUGCCGCGUGUGUGAAGAAGGCCUGCGGGUUGUAAAGCACUUUAAGUGGGGAAGAACGGGAUUGCGCUAAUACCGCGAUCCUUUGACGUUACCCACAGAAUAAGCACCGGCUAACUCCGUGCCAGCAGCCGCGGUAAUACGGAGGGUGCGAGCGUUAAUCGGAAUUACUGGGCGUAAAGCGCGUGUAGGCGGUUUGAUAAGUCGGAUGUGAAAUCCCUGGGCUUAACCUGGGAAUGGCAUUCGAUACUGUCAGGCUAGAGUAGGAUAGAGGAGAGGGGAAUUCCGCGUGUAGCAGUGAAAUGCGUAGAUAUGCGGAGGAACACCAAUGGCGA